GAAACCAUAAUACCUCAAAUAUAACAACCAACACUAUUACCGUAAUGUAUUGAUAAGAGCGUUAUCCAAAAAUUAUAUUUAACACACAUACAUAUUUUGGGAGGAAGACAGUGUUACAAUUUAUGACAUGAAUAAAUGGGUAAAAACAACUUUCUUCAGAGUUCUCCUCAUAGAAUUUAAUGUGGAAUGUAACAUAUUCACAACACCCUGUGUAUCAUCUGUUCAUUCUGUCUGUUCAGACUGAAAGCAGAGACACUGAUGAUGUCAUACAAAGUCAGAAAAUAGAAAGCUAACUGUUUCCAGCAGACACUAAAGAAUGAUGGAGCAGCAGGAAACAGACCAGGUCAGAUAGUAAACAGCUGAUUUAUUCAUCUGACUUGUAGAAUGACCUCAAUGAUUGAAUUGUUUGAAAUGUCUGGUAAUGUGGAACAACUAAAUGCAAAAUGAAUGAAAUAAAACAAGGCCACAUGCUGAUUAUUUGUGACUUGAUUUGAUGGA